CGGAGGAGGGGAAGCACAAGAGAUGCAGUCAGCAAGGGGACCUCAGCCCAGCCCAGCCCAGCCUCAGACUCCUCGUGACACCAGGCCUGGUGUUCAGGCGCCUCCACAGACCCUGGACCUCAGAAGUCACGUCCUCGUCGGAAAGAAUGAGAUGCCCGGCCACCCCAGACCGCCAUUCUGCAAGGACAAGUAUCCCACCCCUCCAUCUUCUCCCCGGAGCUCAAGGAUUUUUGCAGAAUGAGGAAGCGGCCCUCACAGGUGACAAGGCUGGUCUCCAACUACCACUCGGAUGUCCUCCAGCCGCCCGGUCAGAAGCUUGGAGCCGUGCAGGAGCCCGCAAGCCACAACUACUGAGCGCACAUGCCACAACUACUGAAGCCCACGCGCCUAGAGCCCGAGCUCCGCAACAAGAGAAGCCACCGCAAUGAGAAGCCCACGCACCGCAACAAAGAGUAGCCCCCCGCUCGCCGCAACUAGAGAAAGCCUGCGCGUAGCAACAAAGACCCAAUGCGGC